AUUGAACGCUGGCGGCAUGCCUUACACAUGCAAGUCGAACGGCAGCACGGGAGCAAUCCUGGUGGCGAGUGGCGAACGGGUGAGUAAUAUAUCGGAACGUGCCCAGUAGUGGGGGAUAACUGCUCGAAAGAGCAGCUAAUACCGCAUACGACCUGAGGGUGAAAGGGGGGGAGUCGCAAGACCUCUCGCUAUUGGAGCGGCCGAUAUCAGAUUAGCUAGUUGGUGGGGUAAAGGCCUACCAAGGCAACGAUCUGUAGUUGGUCUGAGAGGACGACCAGCCACACUGGGACUGAGACACGGCCCAGACUCCUACGGGAGGCAGCAGUGGGGAAUUUUGGACAAUGGGCGCAAGCCUGAUCCAGCAAUGCCGCGUGCAGGAAGAAGGCCUUCGGUU
rnacentral:rRNA from 1 species